AUGUUGGGUUAAGUCCCGCAACGAGCGCAACCCUUGUUCCUAGUUGCCAGCAUUGAGUUGGGCACUCUAGGGAGACUGCCGGUGACAAACCGGAGGAAGGUGAGGAUGACGUCAAGUCAGCAUGCCCCUUACGCUCUGGGCUACACACGUGCUACAAUGGCGCGGACAAAGGGUUGCGAGCGCGCGAGCGUGAGCCAAUCCCAAAAACCGCGUCUCAGUUCAGAUCGCAGGCUGCAACUCGCCGCGUGAAGGCGGAAUCGCUAGUAAUCGCAGAUCAGCAUGCUGCGGUGAAUACGUUCCCGGGCCUUGUACACACCGCCCGUCACACCAUGGGAGCUGGCCAUGCCCGAAGUCGGAGCACCCGCCGAAGGCAGGGCUGGUGACUGGGGUGAAGUCGUAACAAGGUAGCCGUACCGGAAGGUGCGGCUGGAUCACCUCCUUU
rnacentral:rRNA from 1 species